CCCUUAGAUGUUCUGGGCCGCACGCGUGCUACACUGAGUGGAUCAGCGGGUCAGGUUGCGCGAAAGCGUUUCCUAAUCUUUAAAUCCGCUCGUGAUGGGGAUUGACGGUUGCAAUUUUCUGUCAUGAACGAGGAAUACCUUGUAAGCGCGGGUCAUCAUCCCGCGCUGAAUACGUCCCUGCCCUUUGUACACACCGCCCGUCGCUCCUACCGAUUGAGUGUGCUGGUGAAAUGUUCGGAUCGGCCGUUUGUCGCGGUUUCCGCGGCUCGUGGCUGAGAAGUUCAUUAAACCCUCCCACCUAGAGGAAGGAGAAGUCGUAACA
rnacentral:rRNA from 1 species